UUUUUCUUUUUCUUUUCUUUUUUUUUUUUUGAGAUGGAGUCUCACUCUGUUGCCAGGCUGGAGUGCAGUGGUGUGAUCUCGGCUCACUGCAACUGCCGCCUCCCAGGUUCAAGCAAUUAUUUUACCUCAGCCUCCCAAGUAGCUGAUAUUACAAGUGCGCGCCAUCAUGGCCAGCUAAUUUUUGUAUUUUUAGCGGAGACGGGGUUUCACCAUGUUGGCCAGGAUGAUCUUGAUCUCCUGACCUCGUGAUCUGCCUGCCUUGGCCUCCCAAAGUGCUGGAAUUACAGGCAUGAGCCACCGCGCCCGGCUCCAUACUCCAUAUUCUACGCUGAAUAAUAAUGACUCUGUUGCUGAUCCUCAGGCACAGACUAAAAGCCUUGGGGUCAUCCUUGACUUCUCUCCUUCUCUCACACCCCACAAUCAACUCAUCAGCAAAUCCUCCCCCUCUAUACCUUCCAGGCGUAUUCCAGAUCUGACCACAACGAACCACUUCCUACUGACCACUGCAACCACCUUGGCCCACUACGUCAACUCACUCUCAGAGUUCCUGGAAGGAACUUACCUCGAAUGCAUUCCUUUUACACCUAGAAUGUUUUUCUGCCCUUCAGACUUCAUCUCGUGGCCCUCACAUCUCCAGAACAGAGGUACAGGCUUCUGCUUUUUAGCAGAGCAAUAAGAAGGCCUGUCCUAGGUAGAAUCCCCAAGACACUGAGAUGGAGCAGGGCCUCCCUCUCAGGGGCCUGAGAGCCCCCCACCCAAGUAUGGAAAUAAAAGAAUAUCUUUAAUUCCUUCUAGAAAAGAUCCAAGCACAUCGCUAGCCCUGAGAAGUAAAUAAGCAACUUCAUAAGAAACAGGGUACUCUAAAACAACAGCCAAGGAAGCUAGAAUUAUGGGACAUUUGGUUCCCCUAGAGAAACUAAAGAUAACAUUUUAACCCAUGUCUCCAAGUUGUGCUACAGAAACCCAGACUCUCACCAAACAGAUCUGCAGGCAAAUGGACCUCAGCUAAGGGCAACUGAAGCCUGAACCCUGACCACCUUUCUUUGUUCUAGAUUUCUUCCUGAGGGGCUUGGAGGAAGUCACGCCCACAGGCCAGAGCCUACAUUCUUUUCUGCUGUACCCAAAUGUUUAAACAGAGCCUGUCUUCCUUAACCAAUUGCAAAUCAGAAAAGCUUUGAAUCUACCCAUGACUUUUAAGGCCCUGCUUCAAGAUAUCCUGCCGUUUUAGGCUUGAUAAAAGAAAAACUUUAGCCAGAUUAAAUUUAAAGGAGUUUAAUUGAGCAAUGAACGAUUCACGAAUUGGGCGGUCCCCAGAAUCACAGCAGAUUCACAGAGACUCCAGCACAGCCACAUGGUGGAAGGAGAUUUACAGACAAAAAAAAAAAAAAAAAAAAGGGUACUGAUGUACAGAAAUUGGACGUGAGGUGCAGAACAGCUGGAUUGGUUACAGCUCAGUGUUUGCCUUAUUUGAACACAAUGUGAACACUCAGCAGUGUGAGUGGUUGAGGUACGGCCGCAGGGAUUGACCAAAACUCAGCUAUUGUUACAGGCGCAUACUCCUAAGUUAGGUUUUCAAUAUCGUCCACAUAUUAAACUAGGUUGCAGUUCAUCCACAGGGACCCAACUACAGAAGGACGGAGUCCUUCUCAGGCCAUAUUUAGUUCGCUUUAACAGGCUAAAACCAAUGUGUAAUCUGCAUGCAUUGAUUUACAAUUUUGUCUGUAAUUUCUGCUUUCCUGAAAUUUAUCCCUGCCUUUAUGCAGUGGCGCAGUAUCGGCUCACUGCAACCUCCACCUCCCGGGUUCAAGCAAUUCUCCUGCCUCAGGCUCC
rnacentral:lncRNA from 1 species